rnacentral:rRNA from 1 species
UACGGAGGGGGCUAGCGUUGUCCGAAGUUACUGGGCGUAAAGCGCGCGUAGGCGGGUUGGUAAGUCCGCUGUGAAAGCCCGGAGCUCAACUCCGGAGGGUCGGUGGAUCACUGCCAGUCUUGGAAGGUGCUAGGGGGAGAGUGGAAUUACCGGGAUGUAGCGGUGAAAUGCGUAGAUAUCAUGAGGAAUACCAGAGGCGAAGGCGGCUCCCUGGACAAUAGCUGACACUCAGGCACGGAAAGCGAUGGGGAGCCAAAAGGG